AUGUGGCACAAGACCGGCAAUACCUUGCCGGUGAUGGUCAACGGCCGGCAGACGGGCAGCAAAAAGGUUCUGGUGUUGCACACCAACAAGAACUUCGACCAGCAGAGGACCAACUGGGUGAUGCACCUGUACCACCUCGGGGACCUGGAGCAAGAGAAGGAACGAGAGCUGGUCCUUUGCAAGAUUUUCUACCAGACGAACACUAGGGCCAGGAGUCGAGCAAGUUUCAACUGGGUUGUAGACUGCCCAAGCUUGGUUUUGUUUUUAACAGGCCCAGCCCAUGAUGACAACGGGGCAUAA
rnacentral:rRNA from 1 species